UUGUUCCUAGGGUUCUGUCAGAAUCUACUCUUAAAAUACAAUCCACGUGUAAAGAAGCUGAUACAACAGCAAUAUCCAACUUCAAACAUAAUGUAAGCAUCUAAGAAGCAAAA
rnacentral:lncRNA from 1 species